GAUGAACGCUGGCGGCGUGCCUAAUACAUGCAAGUCGAGCGAACGGACGAGAAGCUUGCUUCUCUGAUGUUAGCGGCGGACGGGUGAGUAACACGUGGAUAACCUACCUAUAAGACUGGGAUAACUUCGGGAAACCGGAGCUAAUACCGGAUGAUAUUUUGAACCGCAUGGUUCAAAAGUGAAAGACGGUCUUGCUGUCACUUAUAGAUGGAUCCGCGCUGCAUUAGCUAGUUGGUAAGGUAACGGCUUACCAAGGCAACGAUGCAUAGCCGACCUGAGAGGGUGAUCGGCCACACGGGAACUGAGACACGGUCCAGACUCCUACGGGAGGCAGCAGUAGGGAAUCUUCCACAAUGGGCGAAAGCCUGACGGAGCAACGCCGCGUGAGUGAUGAAGGUCUUCGGAUCGUAAAACUCUGUUAUUAGGGAAGAACAUAUGUGUAAGUAACUGUGCACAUCUUGACGGUACCUAAUCAGAAAGCCACGGCUAACUACGUG
rnacentral:rRNA from 1 species